CCUACGGGACGCAGCAGUAGGGAAUCUUCCACAAUGGACGAAAGUCUGAUGGAGCAACGCCGCGUGAGUGAAGAAGGGUUUCGGCUCGUAAAGCUCUGUUGGUAGUGAAGAAAGAUAGAGGUAGUAACUGGCCUUUAUUUGACGGUAAUUACUUAGAAAGUCACGGCUAACUACGUGCCAGCAGCCGCGGUAAUACGGAGGUGGCAAGCGUUGUCCGGAUUUAUUGGGCGUAAAGCGAGUGUAGGCGGGUCCAUAAGUCUGGU
rnacentral:rRNA from 1 species